rfam:Crassostrea gigas strain 05x7-T-G4-1.051#20 contig18524, whole genome shotgun sequence.
GUCUUAGCAGCUCAGUGGUUAGAGCACUGGCAUGGUACGUCAGAGGCCUUAGAUUCAAUUUCCAGUGGAGACU